rnacentral:rRNA from 1 species
CCAGACUCCUACGGGAGGCAGCAGUGGGGAAUCUUCCGCAAUGGGCGAAAGCCUGACGGAGCAACGCCGCGUGAUCGAAUGAAGGCCUUCGGGUUGUAAAGAUCUGUUGACAGGGACGAAUAAGCAAUGCGAAUAGUUUUGUGUAUGACGGUACCUGUUUAGAAAGCUCCGGCUAACUACGUGCCAGCAGCCGCGGUAAUACGUAGGGAGCAAGCGUUGUCCGGAAUUACUGGGCGUAAAGGGCGCGUAGGUGGGCGCUUAAGUCAGGUGUGAAAACUCCGGGCUCAACCUGGAGACUGCACUUGAAACUGGGUGUCUUGAGGGCAGGAGAGGAAAGUGGAAUUCCUAGUGUAGCGGUGAAAUGCGUAGAUAUUAGGAGGAACACCAGUGGCGAAGGCGACUUUCUGGACUGUACCUGACGCUGAGGCGCGAAAGCGUGGGUAGCGAACGGGAUUAGAUACCCCAGUA